CAUGCAAGUCGAACGAGAAAAUGUCCUUCGGGGCAUGAGUAAAGUGGCGNAGGNGNGAGAAGGUAACACGNUGGGUAACCUACCUUCUGGCGCGGGNAAACAGCUCGAAAGGGCUGCUAAUACCGCAUACGUCAGUGACGGCAUAAGCUGUUACUGGGAAAGGAUGGCCUCUGCUUGCAUGCUAUCGCCAGGAGAUGGGCCCGCGGCCCAUCAGCUAGUUGGUGAGGUAAUGGCUCACCAAGGCAAAGACGGGUAGCUGGUCUGAGAGGAUGAUCAGCCACACUGGGACUGAGACACGGCCCAGACUCCUACGGGAGGCAGCAGUGGGGAAUAUUGGACAAUGGGCGAAAGCCUGAUCCAGCCACGCCGCGUGUGUGAUGAAGGUCUUCGGAUNGUAAAGCACUGUGGAGAGGGAAGAAAAGCUUCAGAUCAAUACCCUGGAGUCUUGACGGUACCUCUUUAGCAAGCACCGGCUAACUCCGUGCCAGCAGCCGCGGUAAUACGGAGGGUGCAAACGUUGCUCGGAAUCAUUGGGCGUAAAGCGCGUGUAGGCGGCUGCGUAAGUCGAGUGUGAAAGCCCUGGGCUUAACCCAGGAAGUGCGCUCGAAACUACGUAGCUUGAGUACGGGAGAGGGUAGCGGAAUUCCCGGUGUAGAGGUGAAAUUCGUAGAUAUCGGGAGGAACACCAGUGGCGAAGGCGGCUACCUGGACCGAUACUGACGCUGAGA
rnacentral:rRNA from 1 species